rnacentral:rRNA from 1 species
UACGAAGGGGGCUAGCGUUGCUCGGAAUUACUGGGCGUAAAGCGCACGUAGGCGGCUUCUUAAGUCGGUGGUGAAAUCCUGGAGCUCAACUCCAGAACUGCCUUCGAUACUGGGAAGCUCGAGUCCGGAAGAGGUGAGUGGAAUUCCUAGUGUAGAGGUGAAAUUCGUAGAUAUUAGGAAGAACACCAGUGGCGAAGGCGGCUCACUGGUCCGGUACUGACGCUGAGGUGCGAAAGCGUGGGGAGCAAACAGG